GUUUUGUUAAAUAUCCUUUGUGUUAUUUUUUGGUCCAAUAUCCAAUAUAAUGUGAAUCUGUGAAUAACCUCUUUAUAUUACUAUGAAUGGUUGUGCAUAUUAGUAGCAUGAAGAAAUUCAAUUGCAUCAUGCUAAAGGGCCCUUCUACAAUGAUAUGCUAUGAAAAACAAACAAAAAAAAACAUGUGGGAUAAAUCAAGCAGGCUAAACAAAGAAGCCAGUGGACAUUUGGGCAUGCAUCAAGGCCAUUUUCUCCUUUGGUAGUGAAAAUAGUAAAUUGUUAGCAUUGCAGUCUUCAAGAAGGUCUACAGCAUGUAAGUUAUAGUGGAUAGCAUCCAUAUUUGUUUAAUUAUAUACUUAGAAUUUAGUUACUAUUUGUAUUUUUUACAGCACAACAAUGUUUUCAAAUUACCACUGGAAUUAAUGUCAUUUCAUAUUCAUAGUAAUUUGUUGUCAAUGGUAUUUAUCAUUAACUCAGUUUUGCAAAUGAGAAAACUAAGUUUAAAGUGAUUAUGUGAAAUGCCCGAUGUUAUACACUCCAUAGUUCAAGUAACCAAUAUUAUAACACAAAUCUAUAAUUGACAUAAAACAGUUUUCAUACUUGACAAUGAAUAAAGAGACUUUUACAUUAAACAACUAAAUUCUUUUAUGAUAUAACUAAUUUCCUUUAAUAUAUUCAUCUCUCACUCCAGAAAUUUAUUGCUCAACAGAGGAAGCCAGAUAAAAAUAUGCUGAUAAAACACUAACGAAUUAUAUGAAGGAAACAUCCCUUGAGGAACCCAAGAGAAGUUUUUUUCUGAACAAGGAGGACAUUCUUUCAUUAAUAAAAGGAAUAUAAAUGUGAUGAAAUAAAGGAAAUAGUUGCUAAAAAGGAAGUACAAUAGAAGUGUGAAAGAACAGGAGGUCCAAACAUGCUAAGCAAUAAGUUGAGUGGAUCAGAUGAUUUAGUAAGGAAAUAAUCAGUUAAGACAGUCUAGGUCUGUGUUUUACAGGCUGUGAUUUGUGACCCCUUUGAGAAUAAAAUAACUCCUUCAGAAGGGUGGGUGGCCUAAGACCAUCGGAAACAUGGUUAUUUAUAUUACGUUUCAUAACAGUAGCAAAAUUACAGUUAUGUUGUAGUAAGGAAAAUAAUUUUAUUAUUUGGUUCACCAUAGGGUAAGGGAUUGUAUUAAAGUUUCACUGCUUAGGAAGGUUGAGAACCACUGGUCUAGGUGGUAGAAUGAUUGGAAUGAUGGGUUGUUUACUUCCAAUGAGACUAUAAUAUUCAAUAUUCAGUUGUUCUCUGAGGAAGCCUAUGGCAAUCCCAGAAAGAAAAUAUAAAGGAUAGAGGUGAUGUUCAGUAUUAAAUAAAUGGCCUAAUGUACAUGAGCCCCUUGUUUCAACCCCGACACUGCUUUUUGAAAUGACCAUGUGAAUUGCAGAAGGCCAGUGAGUUGCAAAGGGUCAAUUCUAUAUAAUUGGCCUAUGAAAGAGUUAAAAUAUGAUAUUAGCAUAAAUUUUUUGUCACUAAAUGCCAUUUUAUAACAAAAGUCAGAUCCAUAUAGUCUUAUGUAAUUCAGGAAAAGUAACAAGCAAUAUUUUAUAAUAAAUAUCUGGAUGUGUAGGAAAAUAUUUUUCAUAACUAAGACUCUUCAAAAUACCCUAAUAGUAAUAGUCACCUUUCUGUCUCUGGAAAUUUUGGAAGGCAAUGUCUUAGAAUUACCUCCUUACCUCAUCCACUGAGAAAUAUAUAAUAAAGACAUUAGGGGUUUUGCUGUCUGGUCCUAUUAUUAACACUCCAUGGAUUCAGUGGAGAGUAAAGAAUUUCCUAAGAAAAUGAGACACAGACUUAAAGAAAUGGGCAGAGGUGGUGUCAACUGUAAUAAGACAUAAAAUUAGAACAUUUUCUCCUUUCAUAAGAGUACAUUUUACCUUGGUGGCUUUUAAAAUAAAUGUCAAUUUGAAAAAUGAAGGAAGCCUCUUUGUGGCUGAAUCACUUCUAAAGUUCCAGUAAUCAUUCUUGCUCAUUGCCUCACUUUCUGUUUCAGCUUUCUGGGUCUUUUUUUUUUUCUCAUUCCAUUCUUCUCUUAGUGUCUCUAUUCCCAUAAACUAGUUUACUGAGCCUCUACUGUUAGGAUGGUAUAGUUAUUGAUAAACUACUACAGUUUAGGUACAACUUUAUCUGAAAAUUUAUCUUAAAUACAGGAUGUAUAUGUGACAGACAGACACAUGUGUGCAUUCUCUGUGUCUGGCUAUUCAUUGACUGAAAGCUCUCUCUCAAGCCACUGAUUGAAGUUUCAAAAUGAGAAAAUUAAAAUGGCCUCAUAGAACCUGUCCUUAAAUUGGAAAGGAACCAAGGAACCAAGCUGUUCUUCUGAUACGGAUGAAAGGGCCCAUCUCAAAAAAUAUUUGAACCCACUCAAAAUUUCAAAAGAACAUAAACUAAAGGCCCAAGCCCUGGGAGAUAUAUUUUGCAGGGGCAGCUAGAGAGCUAAAGGGGAAAUACAAAAUUCUUGUCUAUUUUUACUUAAUCCCACACAGAUCUAAUCUCAUCCUUGAUGAAACAUAACUCUUAAUCAAAUUCUGUGUAAAAAGAAAGGGGGAAAACCACUUCAAGCACAAUUCAUACUUUAUUUUUAUCUCAAUUAUUCUCCCCAGAGCCAUUAACUGGCCUGUGGCUUUGGGGCUUACCUGCAAAUGGUAAAUGGUCAGAGGCCACUGAAAAUUAUUAGUCUAAACUCCCUAUCUUCCUUCCGUGUUAAAGUAGUUUAGGGCUUCCCAUGUAGAACUCAAACUCCAGGCUCUUCAUUUCAAUUUUUAAAGUAUAAGUAAUAACAAAAUGGCAUUUCGUUGUGACUAGAUAUAAUUUAUUUUGGGCUGAGAGUGCUGCAAGUAUCAUUCAGCUGGUUUAUGUAAGCCUAACUUUGGCAUAGUACAAAUUAAAAUAGAAAGACCCUUUACAAUGAUGUCCAAAUUUUUGACGAUGAGAGUUAUUUCCUCAUAUUUAUAAAUUUUCAGGACUUACAUUCUUCUCUCAAUCCUGUUUCAUCUUUACAUAAAAUUGAUAGUUCUCAAAUUUUGUGGUAAGCCUAAAUCAUCUGAACCCUCUUUAAAAGAUCAGGUAUUUCAACAUAAGUUAUUUAAUGUUUAUUUAAUAUGCCUAGAUUUUUGGCUCCGGAAGUUCCUAGACAAUUCUUUUGAACCAUCCUGAUGAUGAGGCUUGCUAACUUAGUAGCUGCAACCAAGUAGCAAGAAGCUGAUGUCUGUUGAAGAAAUGUUGAUGUUCAGUUUCCUAAAAGACUAACAAUAAUGAUUUGACACAUUGAAACUUACCAGUAUCAUAAAAGUUCUAGUUGAUAAUGAGACCAUACACAUUGCUAAUUAAAUGCAGAGCAAAACAAGUAAGAAAGUUCAAGAGAUUUUUAUUGUCUAUGGCCCUCUACCAAAAAGAUGUUCUAUUUUCAACAUUAUUGAAAACACCACUUGGAAAUGCUACUUGGAAGAAGGAGAACAUGUACCACUUUUCUUUUUUAUCUAUGUAAUAGAAAAUAGCAGAGGUCACCUUGUGGGGCAGAAGCAAAACUGAAAUUAAGUUAUUCUUAAAUGUCCACUUAGGGUUUUGAGAAUUUUGCAUUUGGUUGUGCAACCCCUCUAACAACUCUAUACUCCAGGAUGUUCUGGUAGCUUUGUCUCUGCUUCAGACCUCUUAAGUAUUCUUAAAAUUGAGUGUGGUUCAUAUACCGUGUCUGUGUGAGGAUAAUGGCCCACGCCUUCCUCAAUAAUGUUGUUCUUGUCCUGAGUGUUCUAGCCAACACAGUUCAUCUCCAUGGCAACUCCUGCUUUGGCUCAGCCUGGGGAUUAGAAUGACUUCAUUUCAUACACCUGAUAAGGGAAGAUGGGAUUUACUGUGUAGAGAAGGUUCUUACUUCAAACAGAAAUAGGGGAUUAGGAUGACUUCAUUCCACGUAUCUGAUAAGUUUCUUCAAACAAACAUAAUCAACAAACAGCCAUAUUUGUUCCUGUUUUGAAGGACGGCCUUGUGAUCCACAUAACUGAUGCACUAAAUAGGCUCCAGAAGGUACUUGUAGAACUUCCUCCUCCAUCACUCCCAUUUUUACUAAUUAAUGGUAGAAGGCUUGAGCACUGAAAAGUAUAACAAAAUCAGCCACUCAUUCAAUGAGCAUCCUUUCUAUUGCCCCAUAUGAGGAGCUAAAUUAUUUCAUAUAAUUACAUUAAUUGUUACUGUCAUUGAGUAGCUGAGUCCCACAGCCAUAGGAAUGAUUCUUCUGUUAGACCUGGGAGAAAGGAGCUUCUCCUCUCUUGGGACAAGGACAAGGGAGUUCAGUAAGAUUCUUCUGUUUAGAAAAAGACAACAUACUCGAAAUUAUCAGAUUUUUUUAAUUAUUAAAUUUGCUUUUUGAUGAUUUUGUACAUCUAUGCAAUGCAUUCCAUGACUACCCAUGUCCUACUACCCUUGUCAACUCCUGCCCCACUACCC
rnacentral:lncRNA from 1 species